AACGCGAAGAACCUUACCUGGGUUUGACAUGCAAGGAAAUCUCAUAGAGAUAUGGGGUCCGUAAGGGCUUUGCACAGGUGGUGCAUGGCUGUCGUCAGCUCGUGUCGUGAGAUGUUGGGUUAAGUCCCGCAACGAGCGCAACCCUCGUUCUAUGUUGCCAGCGAGUAAUGUCGGGAACUCAUAGGAGACUGCCGGGGUCAACUCGGAGGAAGGUGGGGAUGACGUCAAGUCAUCAUGCCCCUUAUAUCCAGGGCUGCACACAUGCUACAAUGGCCGGUACAAAGGGCUGCGAUACCGCAAGGUGGAGCGAAUCCCAUAAAGCCGGUCUCAGUUCGGAUUGGGGUCUGCAACUCGACCCCAUGAAGUCGGAGUUGCUAGUAAUCGCAGAUCAGCAACGCUGCGGUGAAUACGUUCCCGGGCCUUGUACACACCGAGUAUA
rnacentral:rRNA from 1 species